rnacentral:rRNA from 1 species
GAUGGACGCUGACAGAAUGCUUAACACAUGCAAGUCAACUUGAAUUUGGGUUUUUAACUUAGGUUUGGGUGGCGGACGGGUGAGUAACGCGUAAAGAACUUGCCUCACAGCUAGGGACAACAUUUGGAAACGAAUGCUAAUACCUAAUAUUAUGAUAAUAGGGCAUCCUAUAAUUAUGAAAGCUAUAAGCGCUGUGAGAGAGCUUUGCGUCCCAUUAGCUAGUUGGAGAGGUAACGGCUCACCAAGGCGAUGAUGGGUAGCCGGCCUGAGAGGGUGAUCGGCCACAAGGGGACUGAGACACGGCCCUUACUCCUACGGGAGGCAGCAGUGGGGAAUAUUGGACAAUGGACCAAGAGUCAGAUCUAGCAAUUCUGUGUGCACGAUGAGGUUUUUCGGAAUGUAAAGUGCUUUCAGUUGGGAAGAAAGAAAUGACGGUACCAACAGAAGAAGUGACGGCUAAAUACGUG